rnacentral:lncRNA from 1 species
UAUCACCUCUUAGUGUAUUGGCUAAAAUCAAGUGUAAUGUAAAAAGUAUUUCAGUACUUACUGACUGCUGGGAGGACUGGCUUUUGAAGGGUGGGCGUUGAGAAGUAAUUCUAUUCUGUUAAACAUUUCAGAGGGGAUCAUUUUUAGGUAGGUGGCUGCUAGGAAGGCCUCUUCCUUGCAACGGAAACCCUACAACACUCUCAUGAGCUUCUCUUUGUCUAGCAUAUUCAUUGAGCGACCAUUCAGAGUUUAGCAUGAAUUAGGGGCAUGUUGGUACAUGCAAGUGAAUUGCUUAUACCUCUCUCAUUCCUCCCUGCAGCUGGGAGCAAGAAGCUGUGAGACGUGGCUUGCCAUGACGUACCAGCAGUUCUUCAUUGGGCUGAAAUCCUAUGUCCACCCUAUCAGAUCCUGUAGUUCUGGCUAUGCAGUCUGGGGAGGGGAGUGGGAGAAGAAGUGAGGUUUCAACUGCUGGGCUAAUGAAAGCCUCUCAUUGUUGGGAACAACUGGGGCAUUUGGAAAUCAGUUUCUGUCCUUAUGUUGCCCAAGGGCAAAAUGUCAGGGUUGUCUUUGCCCUCCCUGUUGCCCAGACAGCAAAGAAUUUAAGCAGACGGCAAAGAAUUUUGUUCUGGAGGACUAAUUGGAGAUUUGCACCCCUACCUUUAUUAAAGAAUUGCACAGCAUGAGGGUGCCCAGUCUGGCCCCAUCCUUUGGCCAGCUGUGGGAAGCUUGCAUGCCCACCAUCACCAGAAAGAACACUACUGUAAUGUUUGUUUUCUACCUAUCUCCCCAUUGCCUUUUUCUUUUUGUAUUCUGCCUGUCAGGCUUUAAGCCUGUGGCUUACUUCUGAGUAGAAAUGAGCAAGCCAGGGUGGUGGGGGAGGAAGAGAUGUCUUGCAUUUGGUUCCUCCUUUGAGAUUUUAACUGGGGUUUUUUCUUUGAUAGGACCAAGUAACUACAAGUUGUGUAAACCGUGCAGAGAAAGUUUGUCAGGUACAGUGCAGGCAGGGUGCUGAGGGAAGAGAAGGAGCAAGAUCACAUGGAUUCUGUAUGUAGCCCUGCAGGAAGUUGGAACCACGUGCUGUAAAUUGAACAGAUUGCUCUGAAAACUUUGGAGCCUAAGGCAGAAAACCUGAAAAGCAUCACUCAUCCACUGGUGCAAAAUAAAAGCAUUUAUUUUAUCAUCUCUUGGUUGUUUUUUUAAUAGUUUAUCAAAACCUGCUGAGUAGUAGGUCUGGCUUUGGAAAAUUUCACAUGAUUGAGGCUUAAAUCUUCUUUCCCUUCAAAUGAUGACAACUCUAGAUAGCUGCCUCACCAAAUAGAUGUUUGUGAGUUUUCAUUUAUAUGGAUGGGAAAUACAGUGAGUGGUCAAAAUUGACAGCACAGUAAAUGUCCAAUACCAUCCUCUUUAUGGUAUUGGCUUGGUUAUAUGCAGUUACAAUAACAGUUGUAUAACCCAAGUCUUUUGUUUAAAAAGCAUCUGCUCCAGUAAGCCACACCUUAUGCCUUCAGUGAAGAUCCCCUCCCCACUCUUUGGAUAAGUUUCUAGUAGACCUUGACAGAUUAGAGAACUGGGCCAAAACAAACAAGAUGAAUUUUAACAGGGAGAAAUGUAAAGUAUUGCACUUGGGCAAAAAAAAUGAGAGGCACAAAUACAAGAUGGGGGACACCUGGCUUGAGAGCAGUACAUGUGAAAAGGAUCUAGGAGUCUUGGUUGACCACAAACUUGACAUGAGCCAACAGUGUGACGCGGCAGCUAAAAAGCCAAUGCAAUUCUGGGCUGCAUCAAUAGGAGUAUAGCAUCUAGAUCAAGGGAAGUAAUAGUGCCACUGUAUUCUGCUCUGGUCAGACCUCACCUGGAGUACUGUGUCCAGUUCUGGGCACCACAGUUCAAGAAGGACAUUGACAAACUGGAAUGUGUCCAGAGGAGGGCAACCAAAAUGGUCAAAGGCCUGGAAACGAUGCCUUAUGAGGAACGGCUAAGGGAGCUGGGCAUGUUUAGCCUGGAGAAGAGGAGGUUAAGGGGUGAUAUGAUAGCCAUGUUCAAAUAUAUAAAAGGAUGUCACAUAGAGGAGGGAGAAAGGUUGUUUUCUGCUGCUCCAGAGAAGCGGACACGGAGCAAUGGAUCCAAACUACAAGAAAGAAGAUUCCACCUAAACAUUAGGAAGAACUUCCUGACAGUAAGAGCUGUUCGACAGUGGAAUUUGCUGCCAAGGAGUGUGGUGGAGUCUCCUUCUUUGGAGGUCUUUAAGCAGAGUCUUGACAACCAUAUGUCAGGAGUGCUCUGAUGGUGUUUCCUGCUUGGCAGGGGGUUGGACUCGAUGGCCCUUGUGGUCUCUUCCAACUCUAUGAUUCUAUGAUUCUAUGAUUCUAUGAUUCUAGUAGGAUUCCUUGCUUAGACAGCUUUUUUAAUAUUAAAAAAAUUGGUAAGGCCAAAACACCAUUAGCAAGUGUAAGCAGUAGGCAAGCAGUGAUUUAUGAGCACAGGGAAGUUUAUUGUGAGAUUAAUUAAUUCAUAUCACUCUGCAGUGCUUGAUGAUUCAUGGAUGUAGCUUCUUAAAUAUAUAAAACUUAUCCUUUUCACUUAUCCACAUGCCCGGAUCAUAUUUAACUUGAAUCUUUUAAUAGCUGAAUGGCAGAGGCUGCAAUGCUCCCUCGCUCCCUCUGUCAGAUUCAUGUUCCACUCACUGUCUAGGUAACCCCAGCAAGGAAAUCAUCCACAUUAGAUUUCCUUCCAAGAAAAUGUCAGCAUACCAUGUUUAACAGCAUCCCAGCAACAUGCUGUAACACUUACGUCAUUUCUGCUUCCAUCCAAUAAGAUAGGGGAUUCUGCUACGUCCAGAAGUUAGAGUAGUGGACUGUCAUAUUGGUUACUUAGGAGUAAGAAGGACCUUUUUUGGCUUAUGAGUAGGGAUCGAUGGGUGGAAUAGCAUUGGGCAAGAUAACCUGUGUUACUUGCUGGGUAAGGUAUCUGAUCAGUUAUGGUGACAAUACAGCUAUAGUUUUUGCCAACCAGCACUUCGCAGCCAUCGUUGAGAAGCCUCCGGUUAACAAUUUUGGCUGCUACUUUGAGAAGUUGUCAUUCCAAGCUUGAUUCAGUUUAGGGUUAAAGUGAGAAACUUUGUUCGCAUAAUAGCUUUACAGAGCCCCAUUCAAGGAAGUGGAUCGUGAGUUCUUUAUUUUAUUCACAUACUGCAUCUAGUGAUGUUAGGUUGUAGCUUUGCUGGACAUUCUUCAUAUUCUCAGGGGAACAAGUUAGAAAUAAAAAUAAAUCAACUUUUGUGAGUGAUCAGUAGGUGAAGGCUGCUGCUCUUAAUGUGCCUACUUCAUUUCUGCCUAAAACUAGAGGAUGCUUUGCUGUCAAGCUGUAUAAUGUACAUCUGUAAAGUUGAUUUUUAAUAAGAAGUAUAUUCUCUCAGCACAGAUUUUAUUUGUAUUGAUUGAGUUAUACAGUUGUACCUUGGAAGUCGAACGGAAUCCGUUCUGGAAGUCCGUUCAGCUUCCAAAACUGCAAGCCAAACGGAAGCCCCACCAGACGUUCGGCUUCCAAAAGUAGUUCACAAACCGGAAGUCACUUUCAGGUUUGCGACGUUCAGGAGCCAAAACGUUCAGGAACUAAGCUGUUCAACUUCCAAGGUACGACUGUAUAUGGGGGAACUUUUUCCCCUCAACCACUUGAGGUGACCAUUUGAAUGCUACUGAAAUCCAGAAUCCCCUCAUCCCAAUUGGGUGUUUUAGUGAUGUAACUGUGGGCUUCUUUCAUGCAUUUCGGAAGCUGGAUGUGUGUGUGCAUUGCCUUUUCCCUCCAUAGUGGUACUCAUGUAAGUUAGCUGCUGGUCUCAUCAUGUACUGCUGUAAUUAACAAUGCAGCACAGUCUCAGCAGCCUUCGUGGUCAGGUAUGCGAAGGCCAUCAUUUCAUAUGCUUGCUUCAGCUUGCCUGCUGCUGUUUGAAAACAAUGUUCCAUCUGAAUUCUGAGUAGUGUUAACAUAAAUAUCCAGAACAAAGGUUUAGGUUUGAAUGAUGGUGUCUUGUAUUAACAUUGGAAGCACGCUUACGGGAAAGUAAACAGUUUUGUAUUAACCUUCUGGCUUGUACUUUUCCUUCUUUCUCGUUUGGAUUUUCCUGUUGAGCCAUUUCAUCCAAAGUUGUUGAAAUUUGAAUGAUUAAGGGUGCAUUCAGUCAGCACUUUAUUCUAUCUUCUUAGUGUUUCCUUACCUGUUAAUGUCCACAAUGUGAAGGCUGCUUCUGGAAAUCUAGCUGAAUCUAGCAGAAGUUUAGAGCUCAUUUCUGUGUAAAUGGUUAAACCAUUUCCAAACUGGGAAACCCAGAUUAUGUAGCAGUUUUGUGUGGUAUGUUUCCUGCAGUUUUCAUGGAUCACGCCUCCACAGGUCACACAAUGAAAUUUUGGGUGGCAUUUUGUCACACUGCACCAUGAAUCAUGUGGGAACAGACACAUGCAUGUGCAGAAAGGGGGGUGACAUAUCCAGUGGUGUUCAUUGGUGUGCCACACAACACUCACUGGUGUGAAUUAAAUUUAGUGCAGCAUGGCAGUGUCAGUCGAAAAGACACAGUUCCAUAAUGCAGCAGGUACUGCAGAGUAAAAGAAACCUUAAAAAUUAGGACAGAAGCACUAGUACUACAACCAUUAAAAAUAAUUCAAUAAACCCCACUUCUGAAGGCAGCCUUAGCCAUUCACAAACAGCCAUCACUGUUGACUAUAUGAGUUAGUGAGGCAACAGAAAACAAGUAUGACAUUAGAAAUCUUUUUAAUCUCUAACAAGGCCUAUUCACCUUUCAUUAAAUGUCUGUUCCAUUUAUAGUUUAUUAAAUUUUCAGAAAGGAUCCUUCAGGAACAGACUUUACCUCAGAAAAGUGAGAUCGGUAUGCUUUCUUAGAGGUGUGUGUGUAGCUUAUUGAAAUUCACCACUAAAUGGACCAAUCCCCUAAUUUUUUUCAGGGAGGGUGAGCAAGAGAAAAAAAAGUAUUCUGACAAAAUUUUAACCGGCUCUAUGCUGUGUCAGCAAGUAUUGAGCAUUUUGAUUGAAAUAACUAUGGUAUGUCUGGCACAUGUGCCCAAACUUUUAUGAGGGUCUCAGCUCACUGUGAUCUCUCAAAAACCACUAGCUAAUGUUCCAUUCCUUGCCCUACGACAUGUCCAAGCU